rnacentral:lncRNA from 1 species
AAAAAAAAGAAAGAAAGAAAUAUUCAGUGAUUAGUGAUUUAUGCAACAUACCUAAUCAAAAUUUAAAACAUUCCUUUGGAGAAUAGGCAACUCAUUUUAGAUUUUUCCUGAGGUCGUGAUGCUUUAUAUAGUACAUAAUAAAUAUACCAUUUUUAUCAUCACAUAGUGUACAUUUAAUUUUUCCUCUUAAGUUGUAGUAAAUCCUUGCUUAUUUGGGGCUCUGUAUUCUAAAUGGAAAUGAUCAGUGUGCUGCAUAAAAAAAUUACCAGAUACUGUUAUAUUAGUUAGUAAUUACUGUAGACUUAGACAUUCCUCUGUUGUGUAUUGUCAAGACUACUGCUAUGAACCACUGGCUCAUUGUGUCUAGUCUUAAUACCUCACUGUAUUGAACACAAGCACUAACAGCUAUUGUUGUGUGACAUUUUGAUAAAUUUUGAUAAAAAAUUUUUGAUUGUUGCAUGAAAUUAAUGUUAACAAUUUGGAAUAUUUAUUGGCAGUAUGUAUGGGUUUUAUCCAGUCUUUAGUCCAUGAUAACGCUUUACUUACCCAUGUGUUCUGUUUUUCCUUGAUAAUCUUAUAAAAAUGAUGGUGUUAAAAGCUUUUUAAAGAUGCAGAUAAAUUGUGUCUAUUGAUUCUCCUUAAUACAUGUUUUGGUUUGGUAUCCUCAGAACAGUCUAGUAGAACAAAUAAAAAACCCCACACUGUCCGAUUACAGAACUCAUGUUGCAUUGUUGCAUUUUAUUUUUUUUUUUGGUUAACUUUCAAUUUCUGUUUUAACUCUUCUGAACCAAUAAACCUAAUAUUUAAGUUGGAUUUUACAGUCUCUAAUUCUCAGGCUAAUCUUAUUGCCUUAAAAAAAAAAAAAAAAAGAAUGAAGAAAAAGUGGCCCAUCCAUUCCUCCAGUAGAACUAGAGACAGGAAGCAAAAAUCUUUUAUUUUCUGAAUAAUUUUAAUACUUGCAGCCUAGUUCGAUAUUUCUUCUGUGACAAUAUUUCCUACCUAUUAAAGUGAGGGCAGGAAAAUAAGCAAAUGAAAAGAUCUUGAGAGAAAGCAUUUACCUAUCACUAAAUCUAUGCUCAAGCAUAGUAUAACAUAUGUUUGUUUAACUGAAUUGAUAUUGCCAACUUUCUAGUGGUCUAUAUGGUCUUAAAAGGGUAUGAAAACAUGCACAGGUAAACAGACCUAGAAAAGGGCAUAGGGGAA